UUAAGUAAAAUUAUUGAUAACCUACUCUAUCUUUCCCUCUAAAAAGAUUUACAAUUAUUGAUAGUUUAAUAAUAUUAAUCCGUGCAUCGCACAGGCUUCUAUUCUAGUUUACCUUAUUUUUAAAACUUUUUUCUCUCCUUUCACCUGCCUUCUCCGCUUCUACUCUCCUCUCACUUUUUUCUCUCCUCUCACCGGCCGGCGGAAACCAAUGGUCCGGCAACGGAAGGGAAUAGGAAGCACAACGACAUCGUUGUGUUCGUUCUUGUCGGAUAUUCGGAAUUGAUUUUAGGAAAUUAGGGUUUGUGAAUUAGGAUUUAGGGAUUUGGGACUACGGGGACAUGGAGCACCAGUGCACCACCACGAAACCACUCCACCUGGUUGAGUCGAAAGUGAUGUGAGUGACUUCAGGUAGCCGGCAUCGGUGAUCGACGGAGCAAGGUAUGUUUUGUAUUUUAGUAAUUUUUCAAUUAUAUUUCUAAUUAAAUGUGAAUAUUUUCGUGCAAUUAUGUAUUAUAAUUUGUAAACAAAUUCGCAUGUUCAAUCGAUCACAAUCGAAACGGCAAAAACCACAACGGCGAUUUCUUUCAUGUGGCGGAACUUCCCUUCACCCGGCGGCGUGCUUCCCUUCCCAUGUCAAGAGUGUAAAAUCGAAUUUCAAGGUAUACUCCAUAAAUUUAAGGAAUUUGGCUGAUUGUAAAAUUGAAUAGAAUACAAAAAGUUUGUGCAUAUGAUCACUUUUUUUUUUUGCUUCGGCGGUUUGAUAUCAAAAUAGUUGGGUUAUGUAUAGAAAAAUAAAGUCCCAUGAAUGGUGGUACCUUAACUUUUUGACAUGAUUAAUUGCGUAUGCUUAAGGGUGGUUUUAUAGGUGAAAUUUGAAGGGGCUUAGGUACUGAAAUUUGUUGUUGCUUUUCCUUUUAGUUCGAGGCCAAGUAGGUUGUGUGAGGAUGAUUUGGAGAAACUGACAUCUCUUAAAGUUAUUAUUAAGGAAGCACUUAAGCUGCGCCCUCCAGGCCCUUUGUUGGUCUUUCAAGAGUCUUUGAAAGAUGUCAAUAUAAAUAGAGUUGUCAUCGCUGCAGGAACAUGAGUAAUUAUCAAUGCUUGGGUGAUCCAGAGAGACCCAAUUUAUUGGGAAGAAAUACAGGGAUUUCGUCCUGAGAGAUUCCUGAACACUGAACAGUAGUUCUUUUGGUUUUAAGGGGAAAGAUUUUCAGUAUAUUCCUUUUGGAGCAGGCAGAAGAGGAUGUCCAGGAAUGUCAUUUUUCGUGAUUAAUGCUGAGCUUGUGAUUGCAUCUCUUAUGUAUGAGUUUGACUGAAUUUUCCAAGUGGAAUAGAACAUGAGAAGUUAGACACCUAGACGUGACUGAAAUUGUAGGUCUCGUAGUUCGCAGGCGAGAUCCUUUUUUGGUCAUUGCAAGUCGUUAUGCUUGCAGAUAGAUCAGUGAUCCUAAGUGUUAUUUAGAUAAACCUGAAUAAUAGACCUGGGCCCUAAAAUUGCUAAAAUAUAUGUCUCCAAUAGAGGACAUAUUGGUAAGUUUUUGGUCGUAUAAAAAAGCUCAAUGUCAUUCCUGAAACUAAGAAGAAAGUAAAACAACCAUGUAAAGCCAGAUUUGAUUAGUGUCGCUAGUUUUAUCUUAUCUGCUCUUGUAUUGGUCUUCUGUUUUAUGUUUUAUGUUUUCCAGCAAUUUUUGAUGCUCUUCUCAAUAAAGGGAGCAGCAACAACUCAUCAAAGGUAAAAACAACCAUCUUAGCUUUAGAACAUAUACCUUUCUGUUUGCUACUCUCUUGGACAACAUUACCUCUGUCAGCUUUUAUACUAUCUUCUUUACUCUCUAGUAGCUCCAAAAUACAAGUCGAGUUAGUUAUUUUCUCACUACUAAGAAUUUAGUUAAUAUACUCAAAUUAAUGUUGCAUACUUGCAUCUUUAUCGUAAUCAAGUAUUGAAGUUAAAUUUUCGACUAGUAAUUUUCAGUUGCUAUUCUAAGAUUCUCGUGCAAGCCUUGGGAACAUGUAACUAUAACUAAGGUACUACAUUAUUAGUUUCCUAUAUUAAGAGGAAAAGAUAAGAUCAGCCCCUUUUUCUACAUCUGUCAAAGCAACAAAACAUAGUUCUUUUUUUUUUUUGAGGACAAUUCUUAAAUCGUAGUUACUUAAACAUACGAAUUAGGAAAUGUAAACAUUUGAUAUGAGUCUGGUGGUUGGAAGAAUCCUAGAGAGUGAACAUGAGUCAAAAUGUUUCAAAGCAACUUCAUUUGUCUUACUGAAUUCUAUUACCUUAUUCUUUGAUGCUUUGCUUUUUGGAACUGUAGUCUUCUUUUCUGCAACGAGCAUCCAGCUAUCCUGUGCCAUCAAGCCAUAGGCAAGGAUCAAACACUGGGAAAUCAUUUACAUUUGGACGAGAUGGCAGCAAUAGCAGGAGCUCUAUGUCUUCUCUGGAAGACUCCCUCAAUUUGAUUGCCAGUUUUCAAGUUAUGACAAAGAGCAUAUUGACGAAGUAAGGACUCAGUGGGUGCGCCAUAUUGUUCAACAACAAGUUAUGUCAGAGAGCAUAUUGACGAAGUAAGGACUCAAUGGGUGCGUCAUGUUGUUCAACAACUGUAUAGUAGCUAGGCUACGUUGAAGGAACCAACAAAUAUAAAACUCUGUUAAUUAAUAUAUUUGUGUAGUUUAAUGUUUUGUAAUAUUAUUUUAGAACAUAUAUCUAUGUAAUCGGUUUUAUUUGGGUGACGA